CAGGAGCAAACAUGUACUGAGUGCGACGGAAGCCCUUGACAAAGAAAUGACAUAUGUGAUUUAUGUUUUUAAAAGCUCUACGUGCUGGGUGAAGAACGGCUUAAAGGGGGACAAGAAUGGAGCAGGGAGAGUAGUCAGGAGACCGUGACAGACAGGAGAUGGAAAUGACUUGGAAGGAGGAGGUGGCGAUAGAGACGACCCCCCAGCUAAAGAAGCCUUGAGGAUGAGAGACUGCAGACAGAGGCCCAGCAGCCAGCCAGCCUGAACAGCUACACGUGUGAGUGAGGCCAUCUGAUACUCUGUAGCCACAGUCCAUCUGCCAAAGGAUUGAAACAGCAUGAUUCACCCCAGGAAGAUUAGGCCUGAGCUAAGUACUGCCAAUCCUCCUCUUUUUGCUGAGGAAGACUGGCCAUGAGCUACCAUCCAUGCCCAUCUUCCUCUACUUUAUACAUGCGAUGCCUGCCACAGCAUGGCUUUUGCCAAGCGGUGCCAUGUCCACACCUGGGAUCUGAACCGGCGAUCCCCGGGCCACCAAGAAGUGGAACGUGCAAACUUAACUGCUGUGCCACCGGGCUGGCCCCAACACAUCUUUUUAGGGGGACACAAUUCAACUCACAACACCCUCUCAUCCCCAGGCAACCACUAAUCUACUGUCUGUAUUUAUGGAUUUACCUACUCCGGACAUUUCAUGUAAGUGUAAUUAUAUAAUAUGUAGUCUUUGGGACUAGUUUGUCUCAGCAUAAUG
rnacentral:lncRNA from 1 species